ensembl:snRNA U1 U1 spliceosomal RNA
AUACUUACCUGGCAGGGGAGAUACCAUGAUCACGAAGGUGAUGUUCCCAGGGCAAGGCUUAUCCAUUGCACUCCAGAUGUGCUGACCCCUGCAAUUUCCCCAAAUGUGGGAAACUCGACUGCAUAAUUUGUGGUAGUGGGGGACUGCGUUUGUGCUUUCUCCUG